GAGCUGUGUACUUAAAAGCUUGCACAGACCUACCCACAACUACUCCUUGGUUCCUGUUAGUGGUGUUAAUCCCUUCCUUUCUAAAGCAACAAGAUAAGAGAAGUUGGAAGCAUUUAUGAUGCAUGAAGAACCUUGUUGAAGGUACCUGUAAGGAGCAGUUAACCCUAAGCAGCCAUACUGCGCAAUCGAGGAAGAGGCACAGAACUGCUUAGAACCAGAGUUUUCUGAUCAUAUCUUCUUAAGCUUCCUGGUUGGUGAGGCUGAUGCUCCCAAAACAGCGAGGUAAUCUUCAUCACAGAGAGGAGGUGUGACAGUUUGCUCAAAUCUGGAUGUGUGUCAGUCUCAGCAUUUCCAGAUAUCCAGGGACUUUAAAUGGGAUAUAUGAAGUUGGUCAUCCCACUAUUCCAUCAAACAAUUUUGGGGUUUUGUUAGCACUUGAGAAGAUGUCAAGCUUCCAGGUUCUUACCUCUGAAUGUCCUCUACCUGGGUCACUCUCUCAGUGGCUUUAAUUGUAAGGAUCUGACAACUGUGCAAGAGCUUUCCAUCCUUGGAACUUACCGUAUUGGAGAUUCUACUCAUUCUCAUCAUAGUGAGCCAUCAAGUGCAUCACUGGGCAGCAUGCAGAGGUGCAGGUCACUUCAGAAGAAGAUGGGUAAUAGUGAAGUGCAGUCACUGGACAACUCCAUGACACGCCAGGCAUCAGAUAAAACUGCUGCUGGGAUGAGGGGCAUGUGGCCAGAAACGUGGCAGCUGGGAGUGGCAUGAGUCCAGGGAGUAUUACGAGGGGAGAUUGCUGUAAUCAGUGGGGAAACCAGCGGCUGAUACCAGACAUGGGCAUUGCUGUCUGCUUUAGGUGGAACUGCAGCUGCUUUUUUACUGAACAGAAUUUUAAUAAUCUUCAGUGAUAUUUUAUUUCUAAUGAGAAUCUUGUAGAGCAUAUUUUAUUCAGACUCCAUCCUCUCCUUUUCUUAGUUAGUUGGGCUACUCUUUUUUUUAGGUACAUGAGACAAUAUAGAAACAGCUUUGUGGCUCAUUUGCAUUUGAUAGCUGUUUCCAGAAUACACUUUUAGCCCACCUUCAUCUAACUCUAACUGCAUUCACAGAGAAGUUUCCAGUACAACUGAUGCUCCGUUGUGAACAUCUAUGUCUAUGUAAAUGAAGCAAUUAGACAACUAUGCUUUGCUGAAUCCUCAUCACACUGUUAUGCUCAUAGAGAUGCUUUCUCUUUGUGAUUUAUAUCUAUACUUGUUCCUCACGCAAAUGCUAUUUUCUAUUAAUAUAUACAAAUAUUCAAAUGACAAAGUGAAGCACAAAUAUAAACCUUGCAAUACAAUGCUGGUGUUGUAAUUUAUUUUUUUUUUAAGCCACAGGAAAGAGUGUGGAUGAAGGUAUGCUGUAAUUAUAAAACAGAUAACAGCCACAUAAUGUGUUAAUGUUUCCCUCUUAUUAAAUGCUGACUUUAAUUAAAUGAACUCUUUACCUAAUAGAAGCAAAAUCGAUUUUGUGAUUUGGAUACUGUCAAUAAAAUCAUGACUAGUGAGAUCAGGUGUUAAUGAUUCAGAACAAAUGUACAAUUAUAAGUUCAAGGCCGUUAGUUGUCACCAAAGAGCAAGGUUUACCAAGAUAUUAAUCCACAAAUUACCCAUUUUUCUGACAAUCACAUUACUAUGAUUGUUGUUAUAAUUAUUAUUACCACUACUAAGACACACUACUUAAUGAGGAAAUCAUUAUCAUCAGGUUGUUCAACUCAUUGCUAAUAAUACCUAAAAUUGGUUCAGAGCUAACAAACUAAAGUGGUAGUUUAUGAUCACAUAAAUCCAAACAUACGGGAGAAUGUUUCUCCUUUCUGAACUACAUACUGAUACUCUGGUUUUCCUCUUUAUCUGUCAGUCAAAAUGAAAUGUAUAUGAGAACAAAACAGCACAGGGUCACCAGCCAAGAGCUUGGCACUUCCUGAGAUGUGGCUAUUAUUUUUGGGACAUAGUUUGAAAUAAAUUGAAGAGGCUUCCUUUCCAAUAAGAUCUAAGGACUGAAAAACAUGCACAACAGCUGACAGCUGAAGGUUGGCCUUCAAAGUUUCUUCCAGAAGAUUUUCUUCCAUAUGUUAUUAAUCUAUUAUAAUCUAUUAGUAAAUGGCAUUACGUAUAUAAGCUAAAAAAAGAAUCAGAAAUUUGUAUUGCACAUUACUUCAGUAUAGAUAUGACACAGCCUGCUGAAGGAAAUUAAUCAAUUUCUUGCCCUUCCAUUUUAAUUUCGAAACUUAGAUCUGUCAGGGUUUUAUAUGUCUGGAACUCUGGCUGUCCCUUUUCAGAACUGCUCCUGUCUCAGCUUCUGACUGGGUAAACUCAAACACAGCACUGCCAAACAUAGAACUGUGGUUACCACUCAUCCUGUCAGACUUCAUUAGUCUUGUUGUACAAUUGUCUGGGAAAAUAUCUACCUAUCUGUUUUGAUUUACUACUGAAAGACGAAUGGUUUCAUUUUAAGUCUAUAAUUAUUUUAUGACCUCUGUUCAGAAAAGAUGCCAGCCUUUUCUUUCUUUUUUUCCUUUUUCUGUUAAGAACUCCUCUCUGACUUCAAUGCGUAUAUUAGCAUGGCCUUCUUAAAUAUUAGACAUAGUUGACAUAGAUCAGCCUGUUAUAUUAAGAAGAACUUAACACACACAUUUUUAUAUUAUUUAGUUUGCUUGCAGUAGAGCAUACAACACAGAGAAUAUCCAAAAGGGAUGUCUUUCAGUGGCAGAGUUCUUGUUUUGAUUUCUAGCCAAGCAGUUACAUGUCCUUCUCAACAGUGAACACCUGCACGAAGAAGAUGAGUAGGUGGGUAUGAACAAAAACUCUGAAAAAUGCCUUUGAAUGUUCCUUGG